rnacentral:piRNA from 1 species
UCACUGGUUUGUCUAGGCUGGCUACCCAGU